UGAAACCGUUCGGGGGUAAACGGACAGAGCCCGUGAAUCCGGGCGYGCGGAAUUCAGGACCGACGGGCGGGGGCGUUCACGCGUCCGUUCGUCGAUUCGAUAUUUCCGCCGCCGACCGUUAUUGGUGCGGACGUCGCGACCCGUUCGUCGUCGGUCUGACGAGUCGCGUCUCAAGUUCGCGACGCGUACGCUUUCGGGCGUAAGCGUCGCGAUGGCGCGGUCCUCGGACCGGCGUGUGCGGACGGUAGCUGUAAACGCGCGGGUAAUCGACGCGGCCGAUUGCGGUCGAUUUCGGUCGGCCGUGGCGCUCGCGUCGACGCCGGUCAGCGACGAAUCUUCGGGCCU
rnacentral:rRNA from 1 species